rnacentral:rRNA from 1 species
CAGCCGCCGCGGUAAUACAGAGGAUGCAAGCGUUAUCCGGAAUGAUUGGGCGUAAAGCGUCUGUAGGUGGCUUUUCAAGUCCGCCGUCAAAUCCCAGGGCUCAACCCUGGACAGGCGGUGGAAACUACCAAGCUGGAGUGCGGUAGGGGCAGAGGGAAUUUCCGGUGGAGCGGUGAAAUGCGUUGAGAUCGGAAAGAACACCAACGGCGAAAACACUCUGCUGGGCCGACACUGACACUGAGAGACGAAAGCUAGGGGAGCAAAUGUGAUUAGAUACCCCAGUAGUCCCUGUCUCUUAUAC